AGAGUUUGAUCCUGGCUCAGAACAAACGCUGGCGGCGUGUCUUAAGCAUGCAAGUUGAGCGGCAAGGAGGAGAGAUCCUCCCUAGAGCGGCGGACUGGUGAGUAACGCGUGGGUAAUCUAUCGUAGGCAUGGGGAUAGUCACUAGAAAUAGUGGGUAAUACCGAAUACGUUCCAUGAGGGGAGUACUUAUGGAAGAAAGGGUGCUACGGCACUGGCCUUAGGUGAGCUCGCGUCCCAUUAGCUAGUUGGUGAGGUAAAGGCCCACCAAGGCGAUGAUGGGUAGCCGGCCUGAGAGGGUGUACGGCCACACUGGGACUGAGAUACGGCCCAGACUCCUACGGGAGGCAGCAGCUAAGAAUAUUCCGCAAUGGACGAAAGUCUGACGGAGCGACGCCGCGUGGAUGAAGAAGGCCGAAAGGUUGUAAAGUUCUUUUGCUAGGGGAGAAUAAGUGUGGGAGGGAAUGCCUGCACGAUGACAAGGACUAGCGAAUAAGUCCCGGCCAACUACGUGCCAGCAGCCGCGGUAACACGUAGGGGGCGAGCGUUGUUCGGAAUUACUGGGCGUAAAGGGCAUGUAGGCGGCUUGGUAAGCCUGGCGUGAAAGUCUGCAGCUUAACUGUAGGGAUGCGUUGGGAACUGCUUAGCUUGAGUUACGGAGAGGGAGCUGGAAUUCCUGGUGUAGGGGUGAAAUCUGUAGAUAUCAGGAAGAACACCGAUGGCGAAGGCAAGCUUCUGGCCGACAACUGACGCUGAGGUGCGAAAGUGUGGGGAUCAAACAGGAUUAGAUACCCUGGUAGUCCACACAGUAAACGAUGUGCACGAGGUGCUGGGGCGGUAGUUUCAGUGCCGGAGCGAACGCGGUAAGUGCACCGCCUGGGGAGUAUGCUCGCAAGGGUGAAACUCAAAGGAAUUGACGGGGGCCCGCACAAGCGGUGGAGCAUGU
rnacentral:rRNA from 1 species